rnacentral:rRNA from 1 species
AACUUUCAACAACGGAUCUCUUGGCUCUCGCAUCGAUGAAGAACGCAGCGAAAUGCGAUAAGUAAUGUGAAUUGCAGAAUUCAGUGAAUCAUCGAAUCUUUGAACGCACCUUGCACCCUUUGGAAUUCCAAAGGGUAUGCUCGUUUGAGUGUCA